AUCAAAAGAAUCUCUCCAAUAAAACUUAUAUCAUAAGAGAGAAUAAUAUGGGAAGGUCUGAGUACGCGAUAAUCUCUAGGGGGGAAAUUACAAACAAUGUAAUGGUCAGGUAACAGAAAUGGACUAAGCUCAUGCUCUAAAAAACAAAGACACCAAAACAUCGAAAGAUGCUAAGGUUGAGUUGACAUGACAGAGGUUGGGAAAACUUGGCUGCGUAUAAAAUCAAUGAAGUUAGAUACAUAGGAUAGUUGGUUCUACCAACUACAACUUGAUUCAGAUUACUCUCAGACUGAU